rnacentral:rRNA from 1 species
AUUGAACGCUGGCGGCAGGCUUAACACAUGCAAGUCGAGCGGGGUGAUGGUGCUUGCACUAUCACUUAGCGGCGGACGGGUGAGUAAUGCUUAGGAAUCUGCCUAUUAGUGGGGGACAACCUCUCGACAGGGAUGCUAAUACCGCAUACGUCCUACGGGAGAAAGCAGGGGAUCACUUGUGACCUUGCGCUAGUAGAUGAGCCUAAGUCGGCUUAGCUAGUUGGUGGGGUGAAGGCCUACCGAGGCGACGAUCUGUAGCGGGUCUGAGAGGAUGAUACGCCACACUGGGACUGAGACACGGGCCAGACUCCUGCGGGAGGCAGCAGUGGGGAAUAUUGGACAAUGGGAGGGACCCUGAUCCAGCCAUGCCGCGUGUGUGAAGAAGGCCUUAUGGUUAUAAAGCACUUUAAGCGAGGAGGAGGCUCUUUUGGUUAAUACCCAAGAUGAGUGGACGUUACUCGCAGAAUAAGCACCGGCUAACUCUGUGCCAGCCGCCGCAGUAA